rnacentral:rRNA from 1 species
AACGAACGCUGGCGGCAUGCCUAACACAUGCCAGUCGAACGAGACCUUCGGGUCUAGUGGCGCACGGGUGCGUAACGCGUGGGAACCUGCCCUUAGGUUCGGAAUAACUCCCCGAAAGGGGUGCUAAUACCGGAUAAUGUCUUCGGACCAAAGAUUUAUCGCCUUUGGAUGGGCCCGCGUUGGAUUAGCUAGUUGGUAGGGUAAAAGCCUACCAAGGCGACGAUCCAUAGCUGGUCUGAGAGGAUGAUCAGCCACACUGGGACUGAGACACGGCCCAGACUCCUACGGGAGGCAGCAGUGGGGAAUAUUGGACAAUGGGCGAAAGCCUGAUCCAGCAAUGCCGCGUGAGUGAUGAAGGCCGUAGGGUUGUAAAGCUCUUUUACCCGGGAUGAUAAUGACGGUACCGGGAGAAUAAGCUCCGGCUAACUCCGUG